rnacentral:pre_miRNA from 1 species
AUAGGGAGCUCGAACUCCCAGUAGGGAGCUCGGGCUCUUGGUAGGGAGCUCGGGCUCUUGGUGGGGAGCUCGGGCUCCUAGU